AUAAAUUACUAAAGCAACGUGUUACCACGCAUUGCCACAUGCGUUACCAUGUACUAAUUGUUUUAUAAUAUGGCUUUUCUAUUACGAACAGAACACAUUACCACGCGUUACCAUACGCGUUACCAUGUACUAAUUGUCUAUUUGGCUUUUCUAUUACUAAAACAAUGCAUUUCCAUGCGUUAUCUCGGAUAACCAUACGCGUUAACGCCUAGUAAUUCUACUCAUUAUGGUAUUUUGUUGAUAAAGCAACGCGUUACCGUCAAGUUUUUAAUAAAAUGUAUAUAGUAGUUUUUUUAAAUAAAAGAUGGUAACGCAUGGUAACGCGUGCGCAACUCAUUGUAACGCGUUGUUAGUCAUUGCUUGCAUAUCGAUCCUGUAGAUUUGAACCAUUAGAAAUUAACUUUUAUUGCGGAAGUUUUAUUGUAGCAAUAAUAAUUAUUUGAUAUUAGUGGUAACACGUAUGGUAACACGUGGUAACGCAUGGUAACGCGUUGUUAAAAUUUGAAUUUGGAGCGAAAACAGGUAGCCCAUGCAUAUACAUUAAUUAAACUAAUCCGAAUGGCUAAUUUCCAGUUUGAGAACGAGGUUGUUUACAUGUUGGCGUUGCUCUUGAAUUUACAUAGUACUUUAAAAUAGAAAAAUCUUGAUUUGUGAUGGUUGCAUGUUAUUCAUUCUUCAUUAUCGAUAUAUCUUUUUCGAAUCGAAGGCAAGCUUGCGAAGGAACGUUAGAUGCCUGUAAGGUAUGGAUUUUAACUUAACCCGGACAAACUAUCGCAUAAUAUAAUACUUGUAUAUCGGCAUGUAUACUAUGUAGUCCAAAUAUGUUAUGCAAAUUUUGUUCGUAUACAUUAACAUAAGCGCUGCCAAAGAAAAUAUUAUGCAGUAAAUAGCCAAAACCUGUGCUCGAUUUUCCCC
rnacentral:lncRNA from 1 species